GGAACUGUCAGACGUUUAUGCACUCGGUUACAUAUUGAAGAUGUAUUCAAAAUGUUAUUUACUUCGCAAAAUCACAUAGAAAUUUUCUUUCAGCAAGAAAUAUGUAUGGAUUCUUCUUUAUGACAAAUUGCCCACGAACUUAGUAAAAUCUUCAAAAAAUAUUGAAAAAAGCUCAAAUUCAACUGCCAUAGGACAAAGGAGAAUAGGACAAAGAUCAUCACCUCAAUGAAAGAGAUUACGGAAAGAAGUACAAUUUGCGAAGUGGUACAGAUGUUGAGAAGGGAAGUUAGAAAAAUUUGUGAGAAAAUAUAUUAUUUUUUAUCCCAUUUGUGAUAGAUGGAAAGGUUCAUAAUAAAUAUUUGGUUGAGAGUCUUGAGAACAAA